GGACUACCGGGGUAUCUAAUCCUGUUUGCUCCCCUAGCUUUCGCAGCUGAGUGUCAGUAAUGGUCCAGGUACCUGCUUUCGCCAUUGGUGUUCCUCCCGAUCUCUGCGCAUUUCACCGCUACUCCGGGAAUUCCAGUACCCUCUCCCAUACUCAAGCCUGGAAGUUUCUGUUGACCUCUCCCGGUUAAGCCAGGAGCUUUAACAACAGACUUUCCAAACCACCUACCUGCCCUUUACGCCUAGUAAUUCCGAGUAACGCUUGCCACCUUCGUAUUACCGCGGCUGCUGGCAC
rnacentral:rRNA from 1 species